GAUGAACGCUAGCGGCAGGCUUAAUACAUGCAAGUCGAGGGGCAGCACGAAUAGCAAUAUUUGGUGGCGACCGGCGCACGGGUGCGUAACACGUAUACAACCUACCUAUAACAGGGGGAUAGCCUUUCGAAAGAGAGAUUAAUACCCCGUAAUAAAUUGAGUGGCAUCACUUGAUUUUGAAAGCUACGGCGGUUAUAGAUGGGUAUGCGUCUGAUUAGCUAGUUGGUGAGGUAACGGCUCACCAAGGCGACGAUCAGUAGGGGAUCUGAGAGGACUAACCCCCACACUGGUACUGAGACACGGACCAGACUCCUACGGGAGGCAGCAGUAAGGAAUAUUGGUCAAAUGGAGGCAACUCUGAACCAGCCAUGCCGCGUGCAGGAUGACGGCCCUAUGGGUUGUAAACUGCUUUUGUACCAGAGAAAACCUACUCACGUGUGAGUAGCUGAUAGUAUGGUAAGAAUAAGCAUCGGCUAACUUCGUGCCAGCA
rnacentral:rRNA from 1 species